UACGUAGGGUCCGAGCGUUGUCCGGAAUUACUGGGCGUAAAGGGCUCGUAGGCGGCCAACUAAGUCAGACGUGAAAUCCCUCAGCUUAACUGGGGAACUGCGUCUGAUACUGGAUGGCUUGGAUUCGGGAGAGGAAUGCGGAAUUCCAGGUGUAGCGGUGAAAUGCGUAGAUAUCUGGAGGAACACCGGUGGCGAAGGCGGCAUUCUGGACCGACAUUGACGCUGAGGAGCGAAAGCCAGGGGAGCAAACGGG
rnacentral:rRNA from 1 species